rnacentral:rRNA from 1 species
AUUGAACGCUGGCGGCAGGCUUAACACAUGCAAGUCGAGCGGAGAUGAGGUGCUUGCACCUUAGCUUAGCGGCGGACGGGUGAGUAAUGCUUAGGAAUCUGCCUAUUAGUGGGGGACAACAUUCCGAAAGGAAUGCUAAUACCGCAUACGCCCUACGGGGGAAAGCAGGGGAUCUUCGGACCUUGCGCUCAUAGAGGAGCCCAAGUCGGAUUAGCUAGUUGGUGGGGUAAAGGCCUACCAAGGCGACGAUCUGUAGCGGGUCUGAGAGGAUGAUCCGCCACACUGGGACUGAGACACGGCCCAGACUCCUACGGGAGGCAGCAGUGGGGAAUAUUGGACAAUGGGCGGAAGCCUGAUCCAGCCAUGCCGCGUGUGUGAAGAAGGCCUUUUGGUUGUAAAGCACUUUAAGCGAGGAGGAGGCUACUUAGAUUAAUACUCUAGGAUAGUGGACGUUACUCGCAGAAUAAGCACCGGCUAACUCUGUGCCAGCCGCCGCCGUAAUAC